rnacentral:siRNA from 1 species
UAUAGAGUAUUCACCUCCUCC